rnacentral:rRNA from 1 species
AUUGAACGCUGGCGGCAGGCCUAACACAUGCAAGUCGAGCGAGCGGCGGACGGGUGAGUAAUGUAUGGGGAUGUGCCCGAUAGAGGGGGAUAAAUACUGGAAACGGUGGAUAAUACCGCAUACUAUCGGAUGAACCCAUAUGUGAUUAUCUAGUAGGUGGGGUAACGGCCCACCUAGGCGACGAUCUCUCUCUGGUCUGAGAGGAUGAUCAGCCAAACUGGGACUGAGACACGGUCCAGACUCCAACGGGAGGCAGCAGUGGGGAAUAUUGCACAAUGGGCGCAAGCCUGAUGCAGCCAUGCCGCGUGUGUGAAGAAGGCCUUCGGGUUGUAAAGCACUUUCAGCGAGGAGGCGUUACUCGCAGAAGAAGCACCGGCUAACUCCGUGCCAGCAGCCGCGGUAAUUC